rnacentral:ncRNA from 1 species
UAAAGUCUUCGGGGCAGGGUGCAAUUCCCUACCGGCGGUGAUAGUCCGCGAGCGCAAGCUGAUGUGGUGCAAUUCCACAACCGACAGUAUAGUCUGGAUGGGAGAAGACGGAG